GUGUCAGCAGCCGCGGUAAGACAGAGGUGGCAAGCGUUGUUCGGAAUCACUGGGCUUAAAGGGCACGUAGGCGGCCCGGCAAGUCGGAUGUGAAAUCCCCUGGCUUAACCAGGGAACUGCAUCCGAAACUACCGGGCUCGAGCGCAGGAGGGGAGAGCGGAACUCCUAGUGGAGCGGUGAAAUGCGUAGAUAUUAGGAGGAACGCCGGUGGCGAAAGCGGCUCUCUGGCCUGCAGCUGACGCUGAGGUGCGAAAGCUAGGGGAGCAAACAGGAUUAGAUACCCCCGUAGUCC
rnacentral:rRNA from 1 species